rnacentral:rRNA from 1 species
CCUACGGGCGGCUGCAGUGAGGAAUAUUGGGCAAUGGACGGAAGUCUGAACCAGCCAUGCCGCGUGCAGGAAGACGGCGCUAUGAGGUGUAAACUGCUUUUGUACAAGGGUAAACCUGAAUACGUGUAUGCAGCUGAAAGUACUGUACGAAUAAGGAGCGGCUAACGCCGUGCCAGCAGCCGCGGUAAUACGGAGGAUCCAAGCGUUAUCCGGAUUUAUUGGGUUGAAAGGGUGCGUAGGCGGAUUGAUAAGUUAGAGGUGAAAUGUCCGAGCUUAACUCGGGAACUGCCUCUAAUACUGUUGAUCUAGAGCGUCGAUGCGGUCGUCGGCAUGUCUGGUGUAGCGGU